UCCGAUUAGAUACCCUGGUAGUCCACGCUGUAAACGAUGGGCACUAGGUGUCCGGGGUAUUGACCCCCUGGGUGCCGUAGCUAACGCAUUAAGUGCCCCGCCUGGGGAGUACGGCCGCAAGGCUAAAACUCAAAGGAAUUGACGGGUCCCCGCACAAGCGGCGGAGCAUGCGGCUUAAUUCGAUGCGACCCGAAGAACCUUACCUGGGUUUGACAUCAUGGGAAAAGCCGUAGAGAUACGGUGUCCGAAAGGGCCCAUGACAGGUGGUGCAUGGCUGUCGUCAGCUCGUGUCGUGAGAUGUUGGGUUAAGUCCCGCAACGAGCGCAACCCUUGUCUUAUGUUACCAGCGGGUUAUGCCGGGGACUCAUAAGAGACUGCCGGGGACAACUCGGAGGAAGGU
rnacentral:misc_RNA from 1 species